GUAGUAGCAGCAGCAGCAGCAGCAGCAGUAGUUGUAGUAGUAGUAGUAGUUUUCAUGAAGUAUACAUUGAAGAGUUUUACAGCUCUCCUUUGUAUAAUUUUGAUGAUGUGUUUUCAGUUUCCAUAAACGCAGUAUGAAUGCUGAUGAUGUUCUUUAUUCUGCAGAAGUUGCUUAAUCUGGGCGGCGUACGCCACACAUCACAAUGGAGAGGAUUUCAACCUGACUUCCAGCAUCCGUAUUUCAGCCCCUGCAAGACUUACAAAGUAAGAGAAUCACCAGAUGCUUCAUAUGACUUAUUUUAAUAUUUGACAUUUUCCAGACACCAAAAAUGUCGUUGCCUCCACAGGUGGGUGCACUAUGUGCCUCUGGGAAUACUGGGGGUCCCUCCCUCCAUCUUCGUGGUGCACGCCCAGCUGAACUUUGCGUUCGGAGUGUGGAGUCACACUUUGACAAUUCCCAAGAUAUCCAAGAUAAUCCCAGGACUGGGACACCUCCUUGAGUUUAUAAUGGUGACUCCGAGCCAUCACAGAGUCCACCAUGGUAGAACCUGCUUUAGUUUGGGGUUAUGAUUUGAUUCCUGAUCUUGCGAUUAAAACGAACUUGCUGCACCCAUCGUUUUGAGACAGGUGUGAACAAAUACUGUUUGGAUAAAAACUAUGGAAUGUUUCUCAUCGUCUGGGAUCGGAUGUUUGGCACAUUUGCCGAAGAGCGCGAGGACGAGCCUAUCACCUACGGCACUGUGUCUCAGGUGGACACCUUCCAUCCACUCGGCCUUCAGCUACAGCCUUAUCAGAAACUGUAUCAAAAGAUGCAGACGAUGAAAACUGACGGUGACAGACUGCGCACACUGUUCUACGGACCUGGCUGGUCUCCAGGCAAGCCUCGUCUUGGGGCGGAGGAAGACAUCCCUGACGUGCUGAGAAGGGAAAAACUGGAGUUGUCCUUGCCGUUUUGGCUCAACUUGUACCUGGCAUUUCAAACAGCUUUCGUUGUCUUUGUUGUGAAGGAUAUGGGAGUAAGAGUUGAGGCAAGUCCUAAUAUUAGUAGUUGUUGGUUAAAUAAUGAGUUCACAUUUCAGGUAUUCUGCCGUGGGUGGAACAGCUGUUUGUUUACACAGUGCAUCUACACCCACCCCCAUGUACGGUAAUCUUUGAUAAUAAUGCGCACGGCACCAGUAUAGGUGCAUAACACGCAUAUUUAAUCAAAAGUAAUACUGUCAUAAUGGAUAAGACGUGGCCUGAAGGCAGUAACUAAGGCUGUGGGCAUGAGCUCUCAUCUGGGUAUCCGCCAUCUUGAUGGCAAGUGAAAUGGCAGUUCGGCGACUUGACCUCAUUCCCUAGGAUUAGCGGGCCAUGUCGACUCCACCCUUUAUACCUCCAAGUGCUAUCCCACCCCAACUGGGCAAAGGUAAGGCAGGAGAUGGGUAAGGGUGGUUGGGCUGGCCCAGAAAGGCUCCACCUUUGUGCGUAAAGUGAAGGGUUACAGUCAAUGCUUUCCUCCUGUCAUGACAUGCAGGUCAGGAGUGGACACUGACCAGGUCUUUGGGAAGGAUAUUUAGAAGCACUGAAAAAGCCAUGGAGAGAUUGAUGGUGGGAAUCACAGUAUUGGAUGAGAAAAUUGCAAAUGGAAAAGAGUGAAGAAAAAUUAGAUUAGAUGAAAUCAAGAAAGGGCAAUGGUUAGGAUUCAUAGUUAGGAGAGAGGACAGCAGCUGGACAAUUGUGAAGGACUGGGAAAUAAAAAAAGACCCAAAGGGAGGACAUUCAGCAGAUGAUGUGAUCAAAUAAGAAGUUUACGGAACUUUCACAUAAAAAAUUGAUAAGUAGAAACGCAGGACAAACUAAUGGAAAUAUUUUGUAGGCAAUGUACUGUAGAGCAGUGAUACGUACAUACAUAAAUAUUUUUCUCUUCCAGACAUUUGGUCUAUGGCAGUCAUUUGCAAACUUCGGCAUCAUUUUCUCUGCAUGCAUGUCUCUGGGGGCUCAGUACGACUCCAGUUAUUAAGCUGUCUGGCUGGAGCCUCUCCGUCUGAUAGUCCUCAUGGUGGCCUCCCAUCUCUACCCAAUGUUGAGCAGUCACGUUAUCACCACCUGGGUAUCAGCAGUUUGUCUAGGCAGCCUCCUGUUCUGGCCAGUGCUCAGGGAUCACCUCCACUCCUUGCGUGCCAGUUCUACUUCAGCUCAAAAUGGGGUUGAGACACAAAAUAAAAUUAUGCAACUGUAGAAUUUUGUACUCAGAA